CCCUCGGAGUGUUAGAUCAAACGAAAGUAGCUUCUGCGAAAUCGGACACUUAGAACAGGGAA
rnacentral:sRNA from 13 species